GAAAUAUGUUUAUCGAGAAAAAGCUUCUAACUUACUUCUCUAGCGGUGAAAUUCCGUUAAUAUUUCU
rnacentral:tRNA from 1 species